GACAGAGGGUGCAAACGUUGUUCGGAAUUACUGGGCGUAAAGCGCGUGUAGGCUGCUCCGAAAGUCGGAUGUGAAAGCCCUGGGCUCAACCUAGGAAGUGCAUUCGAUACUGUGGAGCUGGAGUCCUGGAGAGGAAGGCGGAAUUCUCGGUGUAGAGGUGAAAUUCGUAGAUAUCGAGAGGAACACCGGUGGCGAAGGCGGCCUUCUGGACAGUGACUGACGCUGAGACGCGAAAGCGUGGGGAGCAAACGGG
rnacentral:rRNA from 1 species